rnacentral:rRNA from 1 species
GUACCUACGGGGCGCAGCAGUAGGGAAUCUUCCACAAUGGACGAAAGUCUGAUGGAGCAACGCCGCGUGAGUGAAGAAGGGUUUCGGCUCGUAAAGCUCUGUUGGUAGUGAAGAAAGAUAGAGGUAGUAACUGGCCUUUAUUUGACGGUAAUUACUUAGAAAGUCACGGCUAACUACGUGCCAGCCGCCGCGGUAAUACGUAGGGGGCAAGCGUUAUCCGGAAUGAUUGGGCGGAAAGGG